AAAUUUCAGAUGGGAAAAGGCGUUAUGUUUUUGGUAUAAACCCAUUCAAUCUUUCAUGUUUCUGCUCAUCAUUUUUAGUCAAGUUUGUUAUUUAUAUACGUUACUAUGUGUGUGUUUUAUUUACACUUCCAUCUCAUCUAAUUGGAAUUUACAAAUAUUGUAGACAAAUUUGAUGUCUUGCACCCAAAUUUCAUUGAGAAUCUAACUUUGAUGAAGGCGACAAUCCAGAACAGAGAAUGGGGGCAUGGUCUAGAAGAAACAGAUGUGAGCGUUUCUUGUCAUAAUUAUUAGUUUAUAGUAGUGGUUUUAUUUGUUAAAUCCAGUGUGCUGUUUCACGAUACUCAUAUUUUGUUGCCAUGUUGGGAGUGUUCUUGUGUAUUGGUUACUUUUUGGUGUUCAAACUUCUUUGAUAAAGAUAACAAAUAGGUCAUCAAGACGGCAGAUCAAUAUAGAAAAGACAAGGUUCUAAGGAACAAUGAUGCGAAAAUUUAAAACUUUGGGUGCAAAAUUAAAUACAGCAUGCUUUGGCCAUGGAUGGGGACAUAUUUGCUUUGUACCAUCAGUAUUGAUCACCUAGCGCUAGCAGCCCCAAUGUUGAACAUUUGGCGAGCCCUG
rnacentral:lncRNA from 1 species